GUACCCUACGUAUUGUGCGAGGGAAAGAUGAGGACUUUGAAAAAAGUCAAAGAGUGCUUGUAAAUUUGUCGGAGGGAGAAGCGUUGGGCCGAUGCGUCCCGGUCGGUAUGUGGGACGGUGUAUAGUUCGGUCCGCCGAAUCGGCUCGGGACGUGGACCGGUGCGCGAUUGGUACGGCGGCCAAAAGCCGCAGGCUUGUUGAUAUGCUGUGGAGAUGCCGUGUGCCGAUCGUGGUUGGCAGCGCAGCGCCGUCACGGCGUGGCUUCGAGUCACGCUUGUGACCUGCGUGCUCCGGCUACUGCAACGUGGGCCUGCGGGCACCAUUCGGCCCGUCUUGAAACACGGACCUAAGGAGUCUGACAUGUGUGCGAGUCAACGGGUUGAGUAAACCGCAAGGCGCAAGAAGUGAUUGGCGGGAUCUCCCCUCUGUGGGGUGCACCGCCGACCGAUUGAUCUUUCUGAGAAGGGUUCGAGUGUGAGCCCUAUGCCUGUCGGACCCGAAAGAUGGUGAACUAUGCCUGAGCGGGGCGAAGCGAGGAACUCUCUGGUGGAGGCCGCAGCGAUAUGACGUGCAAAUCGUUUGCGUCUUACUGACUUGGGUAUCGAGGGUGCGAAAGACUAAUCGAUACCGUCUAGUAGCUGGUUCUCCGAAG
rnacentral:lncRNA from 1 species